UACGGAGGGGGCUAGCGUUGUUCGGAAUUACUGGGCGUAAAGCGCGCGUAGGCGGACCUGCAAGUCGGGGGUGAAAGCCCGAGGCUCAACCUCGGAACUGCCUUCGAUACUGCGGGUCUCGAGUCCGGGAGAGGUGAGUGGAAUUCCUAGUGUAGAGGUGAAAUUCGUAGAUAUUAGGAAGAACACCAGUGGCGAAGGCGGCUCACUGGCUCGGUACUGACGCUGAGGCGCGAAAGCCAGGGGAGCAAACGGG
rnacentral:rRNA from 1 species